GCACCCGUAGCUCAGAGGAUAGAGCGUCGGUCUUCGGAACCGAGGGUCGUGGGUUCGAAUCCCUCCGGGUGCGCCA
rnacentral:tRNA from 1 species